rnacentral:lncRNA from 10 species
UUUCAGUCAGGAGUUAGAAACGAAAAGGCAUCUUGAAAAGAUAAAAUCAGAGGACCAGUGGAUGGCUCCUGGCGCUGCUGCUAUUAGCCCUGUGACUCUGAGUAGGUAACUUGAGAACUCUGAGUCUCCAUCCCCUCAUCUGUAAAACAGGCAUUGCUGUGAUCUGAAUGUUUGUGUCCCCCCAGAAUUCAUAUGUUGAAACCUAAUCACCAAUGUGAUGGUAUUAGGAGGUGGGGCCUUUGGGAGGUGAUUAGGCCAUGAGGGUGGAGCCCUCACUAAUGGGAUUAGUGUUCUUAUAACAGAGGCCCAGAGAGCUGCCUGGCCCCUUCCACCAUGUGAGGACUAUCAACCAGGAAAUGGGCCUUCACCAGGCACUGAAUAUGCCAGUGCCUUCUUCUUGGACUACCCAGUCUCCAGAAAUGUGAGAAAUAAAUUUAUGUUAUUUAUAAGCCAUCUAGUCGAUGGUAUUUUGUUAUAGCAACCCAAAUGGACUAUUGAGAGACAGGACUAGCUGGAUUUCCUAGGCCGACUAAGAAUUCCUAAGCCUAGCUGGGGAAGGGGACUGCACCCACCUUUAAAUACGGGGCUUGUUACUCAGCUCACACCUGACCAGUCAGGUAGUAAAGAGAGCUCACUAAAAUACCCAUUAGGCUAAAAGCAGGAGGUAAAGAAAUAGUCAACCAUCUAUCACCUGAGAGCACAGGGGGAGGGACAAUGAUCAGGAUAUAAACCCAGGCAUUCGAACCAGCGGUGGCAACCCCCUUUGGGUCCCCUCCCGUUGUAUGGGAGCUCUGUUUUCACUCUAUUAAAUCUUGCAGCUGCACACUCUUCUGGUCCGUGUUUGUUCUGGCUCAAGCUGAGCUUUUGCUCACCGUCCACCACUGCUGAUUGCCGCUGUCGCAGACCCGCCGCUAACUUCCACCCCUCCGGAUCCAGCAGGGUGUACGCUGCGCUUCUGAUCAGCAAGGCGCCCAUCCAUUGCCGUUCCCUAUCGGGCUAGAGAUGGGAAAACUGAGGCUUAAAGGAGGUGAAAUGAAGUCCCCAAGGUCACAUGGUAAGUAGCUGACCUAAUUCUAGAAUCAGGUUCUCCUAAUAUUCAGGCCCACACCUCUUUUAUGACACCAUUGUAACUGCCCAAUGGGUUCACCUUGCCCGCUGCCUAGAUAGAGCUGAUGUAUCAAGAGAGGGGAAUUACAAUGGCAAAAGAGUAAUUCAUGCAGAGCCAGCUGGGCAGGAGACUGGAUUUUUAUUAUUACUCAAAUCAGUCUCCCUGAGUAUUCGGGGAUCAGAAUUUUUAAAGAUUAUUUGGCUGGUAUGGGCUCGGAAAGUGUGGAGUGCUGAUUGGUCAGGCUUACGAUAACAUCAUAGGGGGUCGAAGUGAGUUCUUCUUGCUGAUUUCUGAAUGGGAUCACAGAGCUGGUUGAGCCAGAUUACUGGUCUGGGUGGUGUCAGCUGAUCCAUCAAGUGCAGGAUCUGCAAAAUAUCUCAAGCACUGAUCUUAGGUUGUGAUGUUUACCCCCAGAAGCAAGUUGGAGAGGUUCAGACUCCUGGAGCCAGAGGCUGCAUGACCCCUAAAUUGUAAUUUCUAAUCUUGUAGCUAAUUUGUUAGUCCAGCAAAGACAAGAAGGGGGCCAUUCUUGGGCCCGAGACAAGAAGGGGGUCUUUUUGGGAAAGGGCUGUUAUCAAUUUUGUUUCAGAGUCAAACUAAUAACUGAAUUCCUUCCCAAAGUUAGUUCGGCCUACAUCCAGGAAUGAACAAGGACAGCUUAAGGAUGAGAAGCAAGAUAGAGUCAGUUAGUUCUGAUUUCUUUCACUGUCUUGAUUUCCUCAGUUAUAAUUUUGCAAAGGGAGUUUCACCAUUCUGUAGGAUUGUUGAGGCAAGAACCUAACUACAAGAGCCCCGGAUCCUGGCCCUGCUUACCACUGCCGAGCUAUGUGAUCCUGAGUAAGUCACUCCUGCUCUCAGGUCUCAGUUUCCUCACUUCUAUAAAACGAGAAUGUGGGACAAAAAUCUCUUCUAGGCUGUCUUGCUAUGUACCCUUCUCUAUGCAUGAUCUUCCCCCAGUACUCAUUAUGGUACCUUGCAUACCAGGCACUCAUGGUGUAGAGAUGAUCAACUAGCAGUCUGAUAGGCACACUGUAACCACCUGGUGGGUUCUUCCUUCCUGCUGCACACAAUAGACCAUGGCAUUGCAGUAGAGAAAGAGCUUAAUUGAUGCAAGGCCAGCCACGCUAUGCAGAAGAUGGAGUUAUUAUUCAAAUCAAUCUCAUCGAAGGCUCCUAGGUUAGGGGUUUUUCAAAGACAGUUUGGGGGAAGGGCUGGGGGUGGUUAGGGAAUGGUGUUUGCUGCUGAUCGGUUGGGGUGCAAUCAUAGGGGUGUGGAAAAUUGUCCUUCUGUGUGCUGAUUCACUUCUACAUGAUGCCACAGGAGCCAUUGAUCAGUGGGUCCAAGUGGAGCUAUGGAUGUGAGACAUGCAAAACACCUGAAAACGUAUCUUGAAAGGCCAAUCUUAGGUUCCACAAAGGAGAUGUCAUCUGUAGGAGUAAUUUGGAAAGUGGCAUAUCUUGUAACUUGUUAAAUAAUGGCUGGCAAUUGUUUAUGUCUAUACCUUAGCAAAAUUCAGGCUCCUCUCUUCCUCUUAGCCUAGUGGUCUCUCAUUAGCUUUACUAAGGCAGUUGAGGUUUGUGGAAGGGCUAUUAUCAUUAAAACUACAACCUACAUGUCUCCCAAAGCUAGCUUGGCAGCUGGAAGGCUAAAGGCAAGAAGAGGAUUGGCUAGAUCAGAUCUCCCCCACAAUGCCAGAAUUUUCUGUUAUAAUUUUUGCAAAGGAGGUUUCAAUAUGCCAUCUUUCUCAUGGGAUAUUAUACUGCCUUCUACAGGGGAGGCAAAGGCCAGAUUGAGUACAGUGACCCACUCUUGAACCAACUUUCAUACCUCCAAGUUCCUCCUUCUGUUGCUCUCAGGCAUCUGAGUUCAUACUUGACUCAUCUAUCCAGGCCCUGGCUUUAGCUGUUAUCCAUGCAAUUAGCAUUCAGAGUCCUUAACUGGCUCCACAAGUACCUUGCCUUUGGCAAUACAGUGUACCCUUACAAUGAGAGGUGUGAGCUUGUUUGAGAGUGUGUUAGCUUUUUGGUUUUUAUCUGGCCCCAAUUCUUGAGUAUUCUGAGAGCUGUCAGCCUUUCGACCUGAGUCACUGGGUUUCUGUCUAUGACAUGCUCCAAUUCCUUUUUUUGUCUUUUGAUCUCCUUUCCUUAUACUGCUUCUGCAUGAAUAGACCAAUUCUUUGGAAGUUAACAAAUACAUCAAAGUUUUAAAAUGUGACAGGCCAUCUCUCACUCCUGGACAUGGUGCCAAAAGUUGAAGCUGCCUCUCAGCCAUUAGCCAAAUACCUGGCUUCCUUAAAGGGAUGAUCAACCCCACAGCAGGAAGGAUCUCAGAAGGUGGGCACCCUCUUCCUUUUAUUGGUGGCAGAGAGGUCAGGGGUCUGUGGCAUUUAUAAUAGGUGCUGUUAUGGACUAAAUGUGUCUCCCAAAAAAUCUUCUGUUGAAAUGCUAAUCCCCAAUAUGGUAGUAUUUGGAGGUAGGGCCUUUGGGAGGUAAUUAGGUCAUGAGGGCAGAGCCCUCAUGAACGAGAUUAAUGCCCUUAUAAAAGGGGACCCAGAGAGAUCUCUAGCCCCACUUUUUGCCAUAUGAGGACUCAGCUUGUUAUUAGUACAGAUGAGAAAACUGAGGCCCUGAGAUGAGAAGUUAAUUUCAUAAAGUCUCAGCUUCAGAGCCAGGGUUAAAGCCCAGAUAUCCUGCAAUACUCUUUUAGUUGCACCAUUAAAAGAAAAUAAACAAUACAAAACACUCAGUAAGUAAAUAAGGUGCUGGUGAUAUGGACAGGAGACAGGGAAAUACUGAGUAGAAGAGCGUCAAAAUCCUCAGCCUCAAGCCUGGAUACCCAUGGCCCUAAAUGGGAACAGGCAUUCCUGGUUUUGCACCCAAAAACUUGCCUUUUCACCUGCCA